UUAGGUUAGAUGCGCAUCGGGGCGUUAAAUUGUCUCCACCAGCGACGCAAAUGCGACCCAGCCGAAUCGCUCCUAUAAAAGCAGCUGCCAGUGUUCCACACGCCCGACAAUUGUGCUCCAACCUGGGGCCGAGCUGGAGGCGCCGCGUCCUCGAUGCGGCGGCGGCGGCGGCAGCCGCGAGUCUACCAGGACUACCCUACUAGCAAGGAAGAUGUGAGUCGCCGCUAUGGAAAAUUGAAAAAAUCAAAUCAAAUAAAAUUCGUUAAACUUUGUGUUCCUUGAAGGAAAUUAAGCACAGCUACAGUUGCAACCAUUUGUUAACCGGCCCAAAAUGGAUGUACGUAAACUACUUAACCCCAUAUUUUACAUAUAUGCAUCAUAAUAUAUAUAUACAUAUGUAUAACUACGCUAACUCAGCGAUCGUAUACCAAAGUUAAAUGUUGCUGUUGUUUGGGAUCGUAUUGUCAACAGAAUAUAUAUUAUUGUCAAGAUUCGACUAGCAAUCGACACUAUUACUCAAUAUCUAUACCAUAUUACUAUAUAUAUAUAUAUAUAUAUGAUAUAUGUAUUCGUUCAACUUAUUUGGCUAUUGUUACUAUUAUAACUAUGUAUGUCAUGCCUGUAAAGACAACAUACAAGAAGCACAUAUGAUAAUAUACUUACACAAUAUAUAAACGUGUCCAUGUUCGGCACAGGUAUUCUAUAAGCACAGAAACCACUCAAAACCUAUACUCGUAAAUCGCAAAAUAAACUCCUAUUAUCCAUAUGUUGAGCAAACGAAAA